UAGAUCAUUCUUUUUUAAACGGAGAGAUUAUAUAUUAUGCAUCCUAAAUAAUUAACCCAACUGAGAAAGGAAAAAAAUUACUCCUAGUUGAGCUCUUACUAAAGAGCUCGUACAGGAAUUUCAACUAGGUUAAUCCAAAAGAAAGAAAAACAACCAUCAGAUAAUAAGAGAUUUUCUUUUUGCAAACAAAAAUGGUGUUACCUUCCCCGCACUUAAAAUUUACAUAGUCCUCUAUGUAACACUCAAUUCGGGGGUAUUAGUUCACUACUCUUCAUCAUUUUCAUUGUUGUUCUCAUAAUUUUAUGUUUUACCAGUGCUACCGCUGCCAUCGGCUUCCAUUUCAAGUUGUUCAAAAAUCAUAUCAAUAUCACUACCAGCAAAAGAAACUGGAAUAUCAAGUCUUGGAGAUGGAUAUUGAUAUGAUAUGUUUCAGACGUACGUCAUGUUAAAAUUGAAGUCAUUUGUCUGUCGUGAUGAUUCCAGUAACUCAUCAGGAAUAAAUUGUUGUUCCAUUGCAAAUUCCGACAUUUGGUCUAACACAGGGCCCUAGCAAGCGAACAAUCCGUAUUCCAAUGUCAGAGGUAUGACGAUAUCCCAUAUAAAGAGGUGGUCAUUUACCGUAUAACCAAAUCAGUUGAGUAAUGCGGCCUACAUUAAUGGGAUAAUGAUUUUUGAUUGCGCACAACCAAGCAACCCUUGGUUCUCUCGAACCUCACCAGUAUUUCAAUUUGGUACAAGACGAGCAUUCAGAAAUACCAUCCAAAUCUUUGCAGGUAGGCUUAGAUUUGUAGAAGCAAACCAGUCUCAAUUUCCUCGAACAUCAACGUGCCAAUUGAUUCCAUUAGGGCAGAGUGGUGUUGCAAAUAUCUCACAAACUCCUUCAUUCAACAACAGUUGAAAUCGGUCAUCAUCCACAUCAGGUGGGUCAUACAUCCUGUUGAUAAUUUCCGGAGCAAAACAGAUGACGUCCCCCCGAACAGUCGAAGUGAGUAUUUUCAUAUCCAUAUUGGCGUAAAAUUCGAGUACUAAAGUUGGUAUUACAGGACCUGGAUUUUGAGCAAACUUCGUCCAUCCAAAAUGUUCAAUUUGUUCCAAUACCGAAGAAUUUGCUCACCAUCUUAUGGUAAAAGAGAAAAAUUUUGAAGUACCUGUAGCUGAUCUUGUGGGCACCUUAGAUACAACAAUAGUUUUUCUACUGUUCUCGAUGUUAGCUACCAUGUAGUCACCUCCCUUCAACACUCACAUGUAAAGAUCACAUAGCUAUUGAGUUCAUUCUUGCUUUUCACAAAAAAAAAAAAUUUUGUCAAUGUACUUUUCAAGAUGAACCAAGUA